rnacentral:rRNA from 1 species
CCUACGGGGGGCAGCAGUGGGGAAUAUUGCACAAUGGGCGCAAGCCUGAUGCAGCCAUGCCGCGUGUAUGAAGAAGGCCUUCGGGUUGUAAAGUACUUUCAGCGGGGAGGAAGGUGUUGUGGUUAAUAACCACAGCAAUUGACGUUACCCGCAGAAGAAGCACCGGCUAACUCCGUGCCAGCAGCCGCGGUAAUACGGAGGGUGCAAGCGUUAAUCGGAAUUACUGGGCGUAAAGCGCACGCAGGCGGUCUGUCAAGUCGGAUGUGAAAUCCCCGGGCUCAACCUGGGAACUGCAUUCGAAACUGGCAGGCUAGAGUCUUGUAGAGGGGGGUAGAAUUCCAGGUGUAGCGGUGAAAUGCGUAGAGAUCUGGAGGAAUACCGGUGGCGAAGGCGGCCCCCUGGACAAAGACUGACGCUCAGGUGCGAAAGCGUGGGGAGCAAACAGGAUUAGAUACCCCAGU